rnacentral:rRNA from 1 species
CCGGUUGAUCCUGCCGGACCUGACUGCUAUCGGAUUGAUACUAAGCCAUGCGAGUCAUUGUAGCAAUACAAGGCAGACGGCUCAGUAACGCGUAGUCAACCUAACCUAUGGACGGGAAUAACCUCGGGAAACUGAGAAUAAUGCCCGAUAGAACACUAUGCCUGGAAUGGUUUGUGUUCCAAAUGAUUUAUCGCCGUAGGAUGGGACUGCGGCCUAUCAGUUUGUUGGUGAGGUAAUGGCCCACCAAGACUAUUACAGGUACGGGCUCUGAGAGGAGUAGCCCGGAGAUGGGUACUGAGACACGGACCCAGGCCCUAUGGGGCGCAGCAGGCGAGAAAACUUUGCAAUGUGCGAAAGCACGACAAGGUUAAUCCGAGUGGUUUGUGCUAAACAGACCUUUUGUUAGUCCUAGAAACACUAACGAAUAAGGGGUGGGCAAGUUCUGGUGUCAGCCGCCGCGGUAAAACCAGCACCUCAAGUGGUCAGGAUGAUUAUUGGGCCUAAAGCAUCCGUAGCCGGCUCUGUAAGUUUUCGGUUAAAUCUGUAUGCUCAACAUACAGGCUGCCGGGAAUACUGCAGAGCUAGGGAGUGGGAGAGGUAGACGGUACUCGGUAGGAAGGGGUAAAAUCCUUUGAUCUAUUGAUGACCACCUGUGGCGAAGGCGGUCUACCAGAACACGUCCGACGGUGAGGGAUGAAAGCUGGGGGAGCAAACCGGAUUAGAUACCCGGGUAGUCCCAGCUGUAAACUAUGCAAACUCAGUGAUGCAUUGGCUUGUGGCCAAUGCAGUGCUGCAGGGAAGCCGUUAAGUUUGCCGCCUGGGAAGUACGUACGCAAGUAUGAAACUUAAAGGAAUUGGCGGGGGAGCACCACAAGGGGUGAAGCCUGCGGUUCAAUUGGAUUCAACGCCGGGAAUCUCU